rnacentral:rRNA from 1 species
GACGUAGGGGGCCAGCGUUGUUCGGAAUUACUGGGUGUAAAGGGUUCGUAGGCGGUGUGGCAAGUCGGGAGUGAAAUCUCUGGGCUCAACCCAGAGUCUGCUUCCGAAACUGCUGUGCUUGAGUGUGGGAGAGGCGCGUGGAAUUGCAGGUGUAGCGGUGAAAUGCGUAGAUAUCUGCAGGAACACCCGUGGCGAAAGCGGCGCGCUGGACCACUACUGACGCUGAAGAACGAAAGCUAGGGGAGCAAACAGG